CUUUGCUUUGUAGCCGCGGACUCUCCACUCGGCUAAGGACGGCCCCAGUUUUUGUUACAUAUAAGGUUACUCAAAUGAUGUAUGUGUUUCAUAUAUUGUCUUUCGUCCAGAUCAAAUAAAUCCCUGAAGAAGACAAAAAUUGGGAUCGAAUGUUAUAGUUAAAAAAACGUGAGCAAGUCAAAAACUAUUUUCUAUGCGAAAAUUUGGCUCUUCUUCAUGUUGUUCAGGCCUGAAUUCAUCUGUAAUAUUCAUAGUUCCAAUAUUUGACAACUCGUUAACAAAAUUUGAUUACUGCACCAUUAGCCUCGAUCAGAGUCUACCACCGACUUUGUUUGAAUUUGCAACAAAAUAAACCUAUUACCUAACCGUUCCAACUAUCAUUUUCAUCCCACUGCAAUAAAAGAUAACCCUGCCGAUAAGAUUGCGCCUCCCACUCAGUCAAAGGGUGCUUCCGAGACGAGUCUCAGCGUGUCGCAAUUUGUUUACCUACACCCUCAGCUGCAACAAUCAUCGCCUAUAUAGCUAUGGUUGCCCUCUUUCAAGGUGAGAGUCGUAUGCAUACGUCGCCUCGUGGGACCACCCUUGGGCUUGUUCCCUACCGGGAAAGGACUCUGCAGUGUACCGUUUUUCAACAAACGACGCAGAUUCUCCUACUGCUCGAUGAUGGCCUACCGCAAUUGCUAGUACUCGGCGAGUGCACUAUGGGUCGGAAGUGAAAAACAUUCGUGACAAAAUUACAAGGUUUUAAAUAAAGAGCUUCAAGUGUUUCCAUUUUUGCAAGUA